GAUGAACGCUGGCGGCGUGCUUAACACAUGCAAGUCGAACGAUGAAGCCCAGCUUGCUGGGUGGAUUAGUGGCGAACGGGUGAGUAACACGUGAGUAACCUGCCCUUAACUCUGGGAUAAGCCUGGGAAACUGGGUCUAAUACCGGAUAGGAGCGUCCACCGCAUGGUGGGUGUUGGAAAGAUUUAUCGGUUUUGGAUGGACUCGCGGCCUAUCAGCUUGUUGGUGAGGUAAUGGCUCACCAAGGCGACGACGGGUAGCCGGCCUGAGAGGGUGACCGGCCACACUGGGACUGAGACACGGCCCAGACUCCUACGGGAGGCAGCAGUGGGGAAUAUUGCACAAUGGGCGCAAGCCUGAUGCAGCGACGCCGCGUGAGGGAUGACGGCCUUCGGGUUG
rnacentral:rRNA from 1 species